rnacentral:rRNA from 1 species
GGGGAAUAUUGGACAAUGGGCGAAAGCCUGAUCCAGCAAUGCCGCGUGAGUGAUGAAGGCCUUAGGGUUGUAAAGCUCUUUUACCCGGGAUGAUAAUGACAGUACCGGGAGAAGAAGCCCCGGCUAACUCUGUGCCAGCAGCCGCGGUAAUACAGGGGGGGCAAGCGUUGUUCGGAAUUAUUGGGCGUAAAGGGCGCGUAGGCGGCCAACUAAGUCACACGUGAAAUCCCCAGGCUCAACUUGGGAACUGCGUGUGAUACUGGAUGGCUUGAAUUCGGGAGAGGGAUGCGGAAUUCCAGGUGUAGCGGUGAAAUGCGUAGAUAUCUGGAGGAACACCGGUGGCGAAGGCGGCAUCCUGGACCGACAUUGACGCUGAGGCGCGAAAGCUAGGGGAGCAAAC